rnacentral:rRNA from 1 species
GACGAACGCUGGCGGCGUGCUUAACACAUGCAAGUCGAACGGAAAGGCCCUGCUUUUGUGGGGUGCUCGAGUGGCGAACGGGUGAGUAACACGUGAGUAACCUGCCCUUGACUUUGGGAUAACUUCAGGAAACUGGGGCUAAUACCGGAUAGGAGCUCCUGCUGCAUGGUGGGGGUUGGAGAGUUUCGGCGGUUGGGGAGGGACUCGCGGAUUAGCAGGUUGGUGGGGGGGUGGUGGCUUACCAAGGCGUUGACGGGUAGGCGGCCUGAGGGGGUGACCGGCCACAUUGGGACUGAGAUACGGCCCAGACUCCUACGGGAGGCAGCAGUGGGGAAUAUUGCACAAUGGGCGGAAGCCUGAUGCAGCAACGCCGCGUGCGGGAUGACGGCCUUCGGGUUGUAAACCGCUUUCGCCUGUGACGAAGCGUGAGUGACGGUAAUGGGUAAAGAAGCACCGGCUAACUACGUG